UACGUAGGGGGCAAGCGUUAUCCGGAAUUAUUGGGUGUAAAGGGUGAGUAGGCGGCAUGGUAAGCCAGAUGUGAAAGCCUUGGGCUUAACCCGAGGAUUGCAUUUGGAACUAUCAAGCUAGAGUACAGGAGAGGAAAGCGGAAUUCCUAGUGUAGCGGUGAAAUGCGUAGAUGUUAGGAAGAACACCAGUGGCGAAGGCGGCUUUCUGGACUGAAACUGACGCUGAGGCACGAAAGCGUGGGGAGCGAACAGG
rnacentral:rRNA from 1 species